CCGGGUGUGGCGCAGCUUGGUAGCGCGCGUCGUUCGGGACGACGAGGCCGAAGGUUCAACUCCUUUCACCCGGA
rnacentral:tRNA from 1 species